GGUACUGCAGGCAAGGAAGGCAGUACUGACUGUGUUCUGGAAGUCAGAAGUGGAACCUCCAGCAGUACUGAGUGCACAUGUGAAAGAUGCACAGUGAGGAUUUGCUACAGUGAAAUGUAACGACUCAGAGGUGGCAUGGUAGUACACAGGACAAUGGACUGUAAACAAGGAUGCAUCAAGCUCAUGAAACUAAACGUCCUUACCCUUUCAGGGUUUAUGAAAUGACAUGAAACUAUACUGGGAGCUGAG